rnacentral:rRNA from 1 species
UACAGAGGGGGCAAGCGUUGUUCGGAAUUACUGGGCGUAAAGCGUGCGCAGGCGGUUUUGUAAGCCAGAUGUGAAAUCCCCGGGCUUAACCUGGGAAUUGCAGUCGAUACUACUCAGCUAGAGUAUGGGAGAGGGUAGUGGAAUUCCCGGUGUAGCGGUGAAAUGCGUAGAUAUCGGGAGGAACAUCAGUGGCGAAGGCGGCUACCUGGCCCAAUACUGACACUCAGGUGCGACAGCGUGGGGAGCAAACAGG